AUGGUCAAAGUUGAAGCACGGAAACCGAGGACGCGCUAUAUUUUGAAACGGAGGGAGUACAAAUUAACAAUUGGUAUCAAUCAUGUACCGAAAGUAAAAGAAUUUCCAUGCUCACAUAUUCCCCUCAAGAUAAAAGGUUCAGAGUUUCAGAGGGUGCUAACAUUUGUUUACUGUCUUACGUUGCUUCCGGAGGUUUCUAAAGAUGUCGACAUACAAACUUCUCAUUGUUGGGACGCGAACGAGGAGCACACGGCAACGCACUCCUCUGGAAUCAAAGCCACUCAUGAUUCGUUUGGGGAUAGGUGCAUGCUUUUGUUUAAUUGA
rnacentral:rRNA from 1 species